rnacentral:misc_RNA from 1 species
CCGAGUUUUCGGGCUUCGGCUCGACUCUCCCACCCUUUGUGAACGUACCUCUGUUGCUUUGGCGGCUCCGGCCGCCAAAGGACCUCCAAACUCCAGUCAGUAAACGCAGACGUCUGAUAAACAAGUUAAUAAACUA